rnacentral:piRNA from 1 species
UGAGGCGUGGAAACACGUGGAAGCCGUA